rnacentral:rRNA from 1 species
GAUGAACGCUAGCGGCAGGCCUAAUACAUGCAAGUCGAGGGGUAGAAGAGGCUUGCUUCUUUGAGACCGGCGCACGGGUGCGUAACGCGUAUGCAACCUACCUUCAUCUGGGGGAUAGCCCGGAGAAAUCCGGAUUAAUACCGCAUAAAAUCACAGGAUGGCAUUAUCCAAUGAUCAAACAUUUAUGGGAUGGAGAUGGGCAUGCGUGUCAUUAGCUAGUUGGCGGGGUAACGGCCCACCAAGGCGACGAUGACUAGGGGAUCUGAGAGGAUGGCCCCCCACACUGGUACUGAGACACGGACCAGACUCCUACGGGAGGCAGCAGUAAGGAAUAUUGGUCAAUGGAGGCAACUCUGAACCAGCCAUGCCGCGUGCGGGAAGACUGCCCUAUGGGUUGUAAACUGCUUUUAUUCGGGAAUAAACCUUAUUACGUGUAAUAAGCUGAAUGUACCGAAGGAAUAAGGAUCGGCUAACUCCGUGCCAGCAGCCGCAGUAA